CCUACGGGAGGCAGCAGUGAGGAAUAUUGGUCAAUGGACGAGAGUCUGAACCAGCCAAGUAGCGUGAAGGAUGACUGCCCUAUGGGUUGUAAACUUCUUUUAUAUGGGAAUAAAAUGUUCCACGUGUGGGAUUUUGUAUGUACCAUAUGAAUAAGGAUCGGCUAACUCCGUGCCAGCAGCCGCGGUAAUACGGAGGAUCCGAGCGUUAUCCGGAUUUAUUGGGUUUAAAGGGAGCGUAGGUGGAUUGUUAAGUCAGUUGUGAAAGUUUGCGGCUCAACCGUAAAAGUGCAGUUGAAACUGGCAGUCUGGAGUACAGUAGAGGUGGGCGGAAUUCGUGGUGUAGCGGUGAAAUGCUUAGAUAUCACGAAGAACUCCGAGUGCGAAGGCAGCUCACUGGACUGCAACUGACACUGAGGCUCGAAAGUGUGGGUAUCAAACAGGAUUAGAUACCCGAGUAGUC
rnacentral:rRNA from 1 species